GUCUGAUUUCUCAUCAAAUAGCGACUAUUCAUGGUUUCUGCAGAGCAGUCCAGACAGAACACGAGUUUUGGUUCCCCAAUCUUGCUCUCAAACUCUUCUGCUUCUUUCAGCUCACACGGAUAACCAUCAAUCAGAAAUCCUUUUGUGUCUCCUAAAUUUGUGAUCAUGGCUUCUUUCAGUAGCUCUAGGACAAUACCUCCAGGCACAGGUUCACCACAUUCCAUGAUGUCUUUGAUAAAUUUACUUCUCUCUGAUAGUGAUGAUAACUCAUUUUGGAGGAGGUUAGCAGUGGACAGAUGAGUAAAUCCAUAUUUCUUGGCUAACUGUUCACAUUGGCUGCUUUUGCCAGACCCAGGGCCACCGACUAUGAAAAAGAUGUUUGAUUUCUU
rnacentral:lncRNA from 1 species